rnacentral:rRNA from 1 species
GAUCUUGGCUCAGAUUGAACGCUGGCGGCAGGCCUAACACAUGCAAGUCGAACGGUAGCACAGAGAGCUUGCUCUUGGGUGACGAGUGGCGGACGGGUGAGUAAUGUCUGGGAAACUGCCCGAUGGAGGGGGAUAACUACUGGAAACGGUAGCUAAUACCGCAUAACGUCGCAAGACCAAAGUGGGGGACCUUCGGGCCUCACACCAUCGGAUGUGCCCAGAUGGGAUUAGCUAGUAGGUGGGGUAAUGGCUCACCUAGGCGACGAUCCCUAGCUGGUCUGAGAGGAUGACCAGCCACACUGGAACUGAGACACGGUCCAGACUCCUACGGGAGGCAGCAGUGGGGAAUAUUGCACAAUGGGCGCAAGCCUGAUGCAGCCAUGCCGCGUG